AAAAGAUAGGAAUUUUAUUUUUUAAAGGGAUGGUUCUGAGUCAUUUGUUACAGGGUUUGGCCCUUUAAGAUCAUGUGACCUGCCGGCUCCAUAAAGUUUCAUUUUCCUUUCCUCCCUCCUCUUGUGCAACAUGUUUUGAUGAAAGUAUAAAAGCUCAGUGAGCUGCUCAGGACACUAGUGAGUGAGUGAAAGAAAGAAAGAAGAAGCAACAUGGCAGAGACCCGGGUGAGGGCCAUGAAGUGGGUCAAGGACAUGUACGAGGGAGUGAAUCCAGGUGACAUGACUGACAGAGAGAAGAAACAGCACGUGGAGACAGCUCUUCAAAACAACCCAGAUGUUCUGUUUAGAAUUUAUAAACAGGGCCGACUCCAUAUGGUGAUUUUCAGGCUGAGGAACCCGAGGGAGUGGAUGAGGGUGAUCCAGCCCAGGAUUACAACUAACCUGUCUUUUCAGCUGACAAAGAGACGUGCUGUUAACAACAUCUUCAAAAUCACCAUGUCGGGCCCUCAGCAGGAACUUGAACACUUCUGUGAUGAUUUUGAUGAGCUCCAUGAUCAGGUCAUGAGAGAGAUCCAGGAUGGAGGAGAAGAAGCACAGAGGAACCCAGUGGAUGACGUUGAGGAGCUCAGAGCCAGAAUCAGGGAGCUGGAAUUGGAAAACAACAGGCUUCGGAGGCGAUAGGUGUGUGUUCAAACCCGGCUGUGUCCUACUGAGGUCCAGACCUGAGGCCCGUGUCUCCCUGCUCUCCUUUCCUUCCUGCAGUCGGAGUGGAUCAAAUUGCACAUAAAUAUAUGAUUACAAAUAUAUUAUUAACUGUCAUUUUCAGAAUCCCUGCACUGAAUACUGAAAACAGUCUCCACAUAACUGAUCAUCUGUUACACACAUACUUCAUGAUUUUAUUUCUAUAAGAGUUUAAUUUAAUGUAACAAAUUUAACUCAACAAUGGAUUUCAUAUCUAUUCAUUCUGGGCUUUUUAACAUGUAAUAAACAUGUAAUAACAUUUAACUUUCAAUUUAAUAAACAUGUAAUAAAGUAAAUUUUAUUAAAUGA